AAAAUUCCCUUUGUUGCUCUCUUCCCGGCCCUAAAUCUCCCCCUCGAAGGUUCCGGCACUAAGGUUUCCGGCGUGAAGGUGGUUUCCAGCAUGAAAGUGGGUUCCUGCGUGAAGAUUUUUUCCGGCAUGAUGCCUUUUUCAGACGUGAAGCUUUUUUCUGGUGUGAAACUGGUUUGCGACUUCUUUGCAACAGUUUACACAUAAGGAAAGUUUGCAAAACAUUAGAGGAGGAUGCUUUAAGCCAAUUUUGCAUCACUAUGAUGGUCCCAAGUUUCGGCUUGAGCUGUCUAUCCCUAAGAUAGCAAGGAAAGUUUUGGAUGCGGCUACGCAUUGUGUGUGAUAACCGAUGAAAUCUGGUGUUAACGACGACAUUUGCUCAGGUUCCGGCCAGAUUAAGGUUCCGGUUGAUAUUUGGUCAAGCUCUUUUGUCUUGCAGGUCUGAUCUUAGAGGUGACGUUGGCCGCCGAUGAAAGGGGAGGUGGUGUUCGACAGUUGCAACGGUACAAGUCAGGGGAUCUCACUCACUCUCUCUCUCUCUCUCUCAUUUUGAGGGGGGGGGGGGGGGUAUUUAAGAAUGUAAUCUGUUUUGUAUUUUUUGGCUUGGUAUACCUGUCGAAUCUAAUCCAGUGAGUGAUGCUAUUUAUUUUUAAAACAUUUUCAUCAGUUUCUCUAACUAGCGUAAUUCAAUAGACAUGUUGCUGAUGUGUAAAUUUUAUAUCGUUUUAGAGAAUAGACGAGAGAGCAACUACGGAAGUUUUCCUAAAGGUUCUGGAUAAUUACAUCAAAUGGUGCAAAUAUCUACGUAUACGUCUUGUUUAGAAUAGGUAUUUACUUGCACUGGUAUUUUCCUAUUAUAUUUAUCAUUCCUCAUGCUUUGCUAAUUUUAAUGAGAGAUUGUUAAGUGUAUCAAAGUCGGUUCCAGUCAUUUUUGCCAUUUGGUAAAUAUUUGUAGUUGGAUGUGUUUGUAUUGAUAAAGGCCUAUUGAUGUAUAUAUUUGGAAAACUGGAAAUAGCAGCAAAACUGGGAAUAGAAAUACAAUGGAAUUUUUUUUUUACUUUUAGUGGCGACAAAUGUCGUCGCUAACGAUCAAAAAUGUCGCCGCUAAAAGUCAUUCACAAUAGCGACGACACACCCUUUUUAGCAACGACAGGCGACCAAUAGCGGCCGAUCUAUAGCGGCGACCCUUUAACGACGACAUGUCACCGCUAAAAGGUGCCUGUUUCUUGUAGUGAAUUAGGUGUUUAAGAUUCAGAGAGACUAGUUUAAUUUUUUGCUUAUUUCUUGAUUAGUGGAUCAUGAUUUGUCUUUUGAAUAUCAUCUAUUCUUUUUAUAGUUUCAGCAUGCUAAGUGUGACAUCUUUGAAAUAUCAACUUCCUUAUAUGUAGGAUUAAUAUAAUGAAUCUCUUGAAUAAGCUAUUUGUUGUAUUUGUUAACUUUGGCAUCUAUGAGACACACAGAUGUCAUCGCACUUGUAAGUAGGACUUGCACUUAUCUAAUGUAUCCACUACUUUUGUAUAAUGCUUAAAACAAAAAGAAACGAAAAAAAAAAAAAAAAAAGAAUACCGGCGAGGCUAGCCACAAUUUCCAAACUAC
rnacentral:lncRNA from 1 species